rnacentral:rRNA from 1 species
ACGAACGCUGGCGGCAUGCCUAACACAUGCAAGUCGAACGAGACCUUCGGGUCUAGUGGCGCACGGGUGCGUAACGCGUGGGAACCUGCCCUUAGGUUCGGAAUAACUCCCCGAAAGGGGUGCUAAUACCGGAUAAUGUCUUCGGACCAAAGAUUUAUCGCCUUUGGAUGGGCCCGCGUUGGAUUAGCUAGUUGGUAGGGUAAAAGCCUACCAAGGCGACGAUCCAUAGCUGGUCUGAGAGGAUGAUCAGCCACACUGGGACUGAGACACGGCCCAGACUCCUACGGGAGGCAACAGUGGGGAAUAUUGGACAAUGGGCGAAAGCCUGAUCCAGCAAUGCCGCGUGAGUGAUGAAGGCCUUAGGGUUGUAAAGCUCUUUUACCCGGGAUGAUAAUGACAGUACCGGGAGAAUAAGCUCCGGCUAACUCCGUG